CUGAGUUUGACGUCGCCGCUGGUGGGAGGAGUCCGGCGCGCACCGGCGCGACUUCCGGAAGAGGGGAGCGCCCGAUUGCCUAUUGCAUUUCUCUGGAAUGACCACAGCAAUAUUUCCAGCCCUUGAUGAUCUUCUAGAACUUUGCCACUUCCCUGCAUCAAGAGAAAAUCUUGGAAGAAGAACACUUCUUUGAUGACGUUGUCAGAGAGAAAUGGAUGUUCUCCUAAAUGGGAAGCCUUAAUUCUGUGUGUAAUUUAUAAAGCCAUGGAGAAGAGGAGACAGAGUGUGCAAGGGAAUGAAGAAAAGGAACAAGACUAUUUUCAAAUCACCCAUGGCACUACUAGAAAUGUAUUUCAGCAAAAGGACUGGCUGAUUUUAUGAUUCCUGUGUCCACCACAGCCCUCUAAUUUUUACAUAGGUACCCCACAUCUCUCUAGAUUUCAGGAAGACUAUUAUCCUUCGACUUUAGCUUUCUGAUGGGUUCACAAAAAGCCAUUAGUGUGCUGUUGGUCCAGCUUUUUUCUGUUGCAAAUAUGAGAGCUACAGUUCUGAGAUGAAACCACAGAUGAGGAAAUUAAGGAGUCAAAGGGGUUCAGCAUUUUUUUCCAUAGUCUCAUUACUGGGAAGUGGCAGAUCUAACCAGAAUGUCAAAAUAUUUACACUGCACCCUGCUUGGCUAGGGUAAGUAUGGAACAAUGGUAAGACUCCUGCCUGAAAGUCAGGAAACCCAUGUUCUAGUCUUAAAGAAAUCAUCGAGUCUCUUCCUCUAGGAAAGGCAUAUAGAUUGAAGUCUUUGUUGGGGUCAUAAUUCCCUCUCAAGCCUCCUGUUGUCUCUGAUUAGUAGACUGUGCAUAUAAUUGACAUUUACUGAGGAUUACUUUGAGUAAGAUUGUCCAUAGUAAAUAUUAGCUGUUGGACUCUAAUUUCUUUCAGAGGUGGUGCUAUUAUUUUUCAAUAUAAUGGGAAUGAAAAGAAAGCAUUAAUGCUCAAUUCUCAAAAGAUUUAUAUAAUUUGUGAGUCACAGACUAUAAGUAAUCAGAUGUUCAGAAACACUUAAAGAAGCUCCAGGGAUAACGCCAGCUUCUACUCUGGAGUGGGAGUUAAUGCACUUCCCCCGCAGAAUGAGCUGAGCAGUCAGAGUGCUUAUCUGAGUAAUUUAGGCAAAACUUGUGGGUUUUAAAAAUAUGCCUGAAUUUUGUGGAUAAUUACACCAACUCUUAUUUCACUGGAGACUUAUAGAAUGACCCUAUAGUCAUAGAUUAACCAUGACAAACUUAAACUUUUAGAAGAAUGAAUUCAUGCAUAUAAAUGAGGAUAUGGUAUAAAUGAAGUUUCCUUUGGGACAUGAUUCACCUUUUCUAUCUUCUCCUUUCCACAAGUAUUAUUUUUCUUUUAUGAAUCAUCAUACUCUCACAGCAAGGAAGGCAUUACAAAAUCACCAGUGUCAUCAAAUCUUAUUCUUGAUACCCUACAAUCAGGCUGUUUUGUGAGCUUCAAUUUCACUUACCAUUUUCCCCAAAGAAAAGGAACAGGUUUUCUCCUAAAAUCUCUCUAUUCUACAUGAGAAUAGGAAGGCCUAUCUAGGUUAUCAAGACACUCUUUGUGCCUAAGAAUUGCCUCUGAAACAACUGUGGUAGGAAUUUUAAGUAGAUUAUCUCCUUUGAACUUCACAGCGUGUUUAGAUGCUAUGGCUUGGCCAAAUACAUAAUUUCCCUAUGUGGCCAGGGUGCCAGGAUUGAUACCCACGUUGCCUGACUUCGAAGCCCAUGCUCAUCCUACUACUCCAUGCUUCUAAGGGGUGUUCUAAAGCAAAUUGCAAUGUUUCCUAGUUAAGUCCAUGGCUGAGAGGGAUUGUACAAUGAGCUGUUUGAUGACCUGAGAGCUAAGAAAUGGGGAUUAUUAGGGAAGAAUCAAAGGAAGGAUAAGAAGUGGACAGGAGGAUAAGUGUGAUGGGGGGAGACGAGAAAGCCAUGUUUUUUUUUUUUUCUUCCUGCACUGUAGUUUUGCCAAGAAAAAGUCCUUACUAUAAGAUUACUUUUAACAGCAACUUUAAGCUUUAUAUGUUUAUUCACAUGGUGACAGUUCUUGUUUAUGAUUUCAGGUUUAUUUUUAAGAGGAUACUCAUAAAACUUGAUAUCAUGAGGUAGUCUUUAAUGUCCCACAGAUUUCUUUUUCGGAGUUUCCCCUUUCCUUAUACUUGUGACCUCUAAUCCUACCUUCCAAGAAAGUUUACCAUUCCUGUUGAGCAUCUACCAUGAAGAAAGUACUCUGACCUUGACCCCCCAGCUUUCUCUCUACAUGAUUCUCUUCUCCCCACACAGGUCUCUGUAGUCCUGGCCUUUCCAUUUUCUGACUUGCCUGCAAAAUUUGCCAGUCACAAGUUCCAUUUCUUUAGGAACCUAAAGAAAUCCAUACAAAUAGUCUGUGUUAAUGGUUAAGUGUUUAUUCCGUGUGGAUAACAUAGUUGUACUUGGCCAGGGGGCCUUCUGAAUAAAAUGUUUUUAGGUUUCAUGAAAAUAACUUAUGAUCUAUUAGACUCAUAGUAUUUUAAAGCUAAAAGCAAACUUAGAAGAAAUUCUGGUAUAAUUUCAUCAGUUUUUCAAAUGGGAAAAUGAGGCCAAAAGGCAUUCCUAGAAUUUAGUUCUUAAAUCACACUUUCAAGAUAGUGAUAUGGCAAUUAUUCCUUCAAUUAUUGCUUCAGAAAUGGGCCAAAAAAAAAAAAGAAGUACAAAAAGAAAUGAUUUGAUUGAAGUUACACAGAGGAUCAAAAGCCCAACUGGAAUGGAUUCCUUUUACCUACCUUCCUUCUGAUUUUGCAAGUGAUGUUUAGAAUAUCCUCAAGAUCCUUUUUUUAUGAAGAUGACACAUUUUAGCUACAGACCUCCUUAAUUUUGCUUAUAAAACUUGUCUGUCUUUUCAAAUUCUGUUAAACUGAAAUUUUAUGGAUGUCUGAAACCUGGAAGUAGCAGUGGUUGAGUUGAAGGGUGAGCAGAGUUAGGGAAAACUUCCUCUUAGGGCUUAGUUGCUUUUAUUUUAGAAGUCACCCUUCUCUGUUUUGGCAUUAUACUGGCAAUGAUGUGAUUGAAAAGAAAAUUAAGAACCAACUACUGUCAGUGUCAAAUUAGUCGCUUUUGUAAAUAAGAAAAGCUUUUCAAUCAGGAACUUGAAAGGCCAUCUGGAUUUUAUAGUUUGCUCAAACAAAAAUAAAUACUAAAUACUGUAAACCAAUCAUUUCUAAAUUAGCUGUAGUAAUAAAAUAUGCUACUUAUAAAAAUUACUUUCCUCUGUAGGCCUGGGUUGGUAACAAAACAAAGCAAAACAAAACAAAAAAACAAUUACUUUCCAUUUUCUAGCCAAAUGAGAUUACUAAAUAUAUUAGGUGUCUUUGCUUUUUCUAUACUGAACAAGAAUCUUGAAAUCCAAAAGGGUUUAUGAGCAAUUCAUAACUGAUAGAUAAAGGAAUUUGUGUGAGUAGUGAUAUAAGUUUAGAUUGGUUAUUUACCAUUUAUUCUUAACGAAAGUACAGAUUUUUAUUAUUAUAAAAAUAAAUUACUGAGGUUAAAUUAGUCCGAUUGAUUGACUUUUUUUCUUCUUGUCCAAUCGCAAAUGAUAACUCUUACCAGUUUCUAUAGGAUGAGAUUUUGUCUUUUGGCUUAAUAUGAUAUUUAAUGCCUAAUUUCUUACAAAAUUCCAGACUAGACAUCUGAUUAUAUUUCAUGAUGUAUGGUAUAAAAGUUGCAGUUAUGUCAUAUGAGUGUCUUAACAAUUGUAGAUCUCAAAGCUAAAGAUUCACUACUUUAAUUGUUUGCUUUUAUAAAAUAAAAGCAGCUAAUAUAGGACAUUUACUAUUUUCCAGGCACUGUGUCGAAAGCAUUAAAUGCUUUAUCUAUUUAAUUUCCACACAAACCAAUAAGGUAAACACAAUCAUCACUCCCAUUUUAAAGAUGAGGAAACUGGGAUUUGGAGGGUUAAGUAACUUGCCCAUGGUCCGCAGUUAUCAAGGAGGAACUGGAACGUAAAUCUAGGUUUGUCUAACCUUGAAGUCUAUGUGCAUAGCCAUUGUGCCACACUACCUGAUGAAGAAGAAAACUGCCGAAGAAACUAGGUGAUGACCAAUGCAUGCAAGCUGGGCAGAGAGGAAAUCUGAAGUAGCAUCUGAUUCUCGCUCUUAUUACCAGUCCUAGCUCAAAACAACACCCUUUGCUCUGUUGCAAAUAUUCUCUUGCAAGGGUUGGAUAAACUUAAAUUUUAAGAGUGGAUAAACUUGUGGUUGGCUGGAAGUAAAAUGAAAGACUUUCUCUCAUCAUUGACAUCCAAACAUUGAAAAGUUCUGUUGAUUCUUUCUUCUAAACUUUUCUGAAAUCCUUCUCUCUCAUCCUCACUCCCACCGACUUAGUUUAAAAAUCCUGUAGGUCUCAUCUAGUAUCCUCUUAAUUUGUCUCUCCAUCUGUCCACUCUUCCUAUUCAUUCUACAAUAUCUUUCCAGUAUUGAGUUAAAUUAGCCACAGCUUGUGGAUCCACAGGAGAGACAACAUGUAAAUAAGCUGUUACAAAACAAUGCAGUACAUCCCUGAUCUAUUUGGUUCUAUGUGAGCAUAGAGAGGUCAGAAUUUCAAGGGAGGGGCAAGGCAAAAAGUAACAUUUAAUGGAGGCGCUGUUUACUAAUGUUGUAAAUAAAAAUAGAACCUUCUAAUGAUAAUUUCACUACUCCUAAUAGUUAUUGAGUUAUUCCUGUGUGUCAGUGAAAAGGACUGUUUUGAGUCCUUUUCAUACGUGAUCUCAUUCAGUUCUCACAACCACACUCUGUAGUAAGCACUACUGUUAUCCCCUCUUUACAUAGGAGGAAACCAAGGCUUAGAGAGUUUAAAUGACUGGCCCAAGGUUACAUAGCUGAGUAGGGGUGGAGUUAGGAUUUUAACUAAGGCAGUCUGAGUUCAUUUAUUUAGAGGCAAAGAGGAGUUGAGUUUUCGUAUGCAUUGCAUUUGAGGAGUAGACUUGUUCCAAAGGCAGUGGGUAUGUGGAUCUUAAGUUCAGGAGAUGCAGAGUUGGGAGUCAGCAGUCUAUAGAAGUUACUUGAAGCUAAGAAUGUUCAUGCAAAUGCCUCCAGGAGAGUGAGAGUUUGAAUAGAGGAGAUUCAAGGAGAGAAACUUAGAUAAAGCUACCACGAUCACAAUGUAAGGGGAAACCUUAAACAUGUCCAGGCACUACCAGGGAGGAUCGUUAUUUGAAGUAUGUGUCACAUCUAUAUUAUAGUCAACAGUAUUCAAAUCCAAUGACAACAGGCAGGUGCACUGUGCUUUUCUUCAAAGCUCUUUCCAUAAGGUAGCAAAUGAGCCAUCUUGUAACCUCAUCAGAAGAGAGGAGUGGCCUUCCAACCAUCAGCUGAGCCUUGGCCCUCCUCUGGCCUAUGCUAUUCAGCCACCUAAGUAUCCAAACAGCAUGGCCGGGUUUGCACAUAGGAGUUAGAACAGAUCACUGGUUGUCCUGAAACCCUGCCUUAGCUCUGUCUUUUCCCAAAGUAGCUUACUUCUUCAUUUAAAUCUAUAUCACAGCUACUAGCCUGGUGCCCUCUGUGACUCAGCUUCUGUAACUAUCUAGAGUAGAGAUCAACAAAUGUUUCAGCAAAUAUUUUGGAGAUCAGCAAACAUUUUUAGCUUUGUGGACCAUACAGUCUCUGUUGCAACUGCUCAAUUCUGCUAUCUGUUGUAGCAUGAAAGAAGUCAUAAACAAUAUGUAAACAUAGCUGGGUGCUCCAAUAAAACUUUAUUUACCAAAACAGGUGAUGGGUUGGAUUUGGCUCAUGGGCUGUGGUUUGAUGACCCUUGAUGUAGAGUCAUGCCACUCUGUUUGGUGUCCUUUCAACAACACUUUCUCAGCUCUGAUCCUUUCUUCAUUAAACGCUUAGCUCCAUACAGUUGAAUACGCUUGUACUCAUUCCUUAUUCCGUUCUUAUUCUCCUCUUUCUUGCAUAUUUUCUAGUAUAUUCCCUAGUAAAAUUUUCUGCUUUGAGAAAUAUUUUAAUAGUUACUGUAAGAGCAACUCCAUAGGUAGGCUAAAAUGGAAGUGGCAGUUAACUGAACUAUGGCAUUGUGAAACCUAUAGUGUUUUGGUGAUCUGAUCUAUUUCUGUUCUAGUUUCUUAAACACCUCUCCACCAAAUUCAAAAUCAUUUAUUACAAGUGAUCUUGUUCAGUAGUGGAGUUGCGCUUAAUAACGUAACACAUUAGGUUUUAUUUGUAAAGUCAGGGAUGAUUUUGAUUCCCAUGCAGCAAACCCUUUUUGUGUGUUUUGCUUCUUUGGGAAUUUGGUAAUUUUGUGAAAUAUAGAAGGGUGCCUAGCGUUUCUUAGAUGGAAUCCCUAUGGAAGGACACACAUGGUGAUUGUGAGAUUACCCUGAGAAUUGGGGAAAUUCAGCUUACCACUGAACAUUUAAAUAGAAAAUGAAAGCAUCCAUUGCAUUUCAGGAGAAUUGAAAAUUGGAAAAUAAGUACUAAAACAGUUUGCUUCUUAGUAAAGCAAGAUUUAGAAAAUAUUGGAAAUCUGCUAAAACAUCAUUUUCUUCCACAGUCCUUAUCUUUAGGGGUUCUUGCUAUUGAUUAUGAAGUAUAUUUGAAUAUUUUUUUAAAUUGCAAAAUCCUUAUUUAUAUACAUUGAUCUUUAUACCAAGAGGGCUGAUAGAGUAAGCUUGAUUUUCUAAUCUUCCUGAUCUUAAUUGAGUUGUUUAUAUAGCAUUUCAAGUCUGCUAUCAAUUAAGUAGCCAUUCUGUGAUGUGUGAGUUGAGGAGUGAAAUACAGUGAUUUUUGUGUCAACUCCGUUUGUGACAAGAAAUCAAUGCAUGAACAGCAGAGCCAGGAAAACACUGAAAUCCUUUUAUGGUUUUACAUUAAUUUCUAUGGCAGGUAGGGUAGACAUGUGCUGCUUGAUCCCUCUUCAGAACAGGUCUUGCUGCCCAGCUGUGGGGAGUGCAGUUAGUGCACAGCCUGAAGCUGUCAGCUCCUUUAGGGUCGGUCUCAGCUGAGGUCAUGCCAUUCCAGACAGCUCACAACUGAUAUUGGUGUGAGAUGAGGGGCUAUAAAGACCAGGCCAUUUCACCCUGAAGUAGGAUAUUCUGUUAGACAACACUUGUGCCAAAGUGCUCUGUCAGCUUUAUGGGGCUAGAAUUGCAAUUUAACUUCCCCUUCUGCCCAAUUUUGCUUCAGCUCCUUCAUUUACAGGAGUUUAUCCACUCACAAACAUAUUGCAUUCAAAACUCCAUCUCAGCAUCUGCUUCCAGAGAAUGUGGGUUGCAGUAGCAGGUGAGUGGUCAGCAACCCUCUGGCGUCCUCAUGCAAGGGAUAGAUCUAUCAAGAAGACUUACACUUUGUAGUGUUUGGCCCUUAGUGGUGAUGGGUUAUCCCAAGUUAUUCACAUUGUCUCAAUGGGUCCUCCAAGAGAAAUGACUUGAAGCAUAAAACAGAGCUGGAUAAUCUAGAGGCAUAUUCUGCUAAGCAGGUAGGAGAAACUGCUAGAAACCUUAAUGGUUUGCCACCUUGCUAAAAAAAAUUAUUUAGUCUUUUUGGCAUCUGAGGUCUUAGUGGAAAACUUGUUUCUUCCAUUUUUCCUGAAUGCUUUUUUAUGUGUACGCUCUUUUUCAUUCCUCCAAUUCUUCCUUGUUUAUUCAGUGUCCCAGUUGCCACAACUUCUGUGGGCUCAGUUAUCAGGCCUGGCUGAGGCUUCUGUGGAUCAAAAUGGGCAUAAGAGUGUGCUACAGAAAAGAAGAGGAGAGGAAGCCAGCAUUGGGCCAGGGGCCAGGAGAGCUCAGCCAGUGUGGCCCUGAGGAAGGGAACAAUGGUCCCAAUUAUAGGCUCCAAGGAGUUUGGGUGGAUUGGAGUCAUUCUGGUUUCUGUUGAGAUGUGGAAGGAGGCUGUUGUUUACCAAGAACCUGCAUGCCUUCGGCCCUCUACAUGUCAGCUCAUUUAAGUUUCAAACAAACGCACAAGGUAGAUAUUUUAGAGUUGAGGAAAUUUUUAAAUUUUUUAUUUUAUUUAAAUUGAUAAAAUUCUAUGUGCUUAUUGUGUACAAAUGAUAUUUUGGAAUAUAUGUACACAUUGUGGAAUGGCUAAUCAAGCUAAUUAACAGGUGUGUUACCUCAUGAGUUGAGGAAAUUGAAGCAUAGAGAGAUUUAAGUGACUUGUCCAAGUUCAUUUAAUGGCUCUGAAUGUGCAGAGAUGGUGGUGAGGAGUUAGUGCUGUAGUAGGUAUUACUAGUUUUCUAACAAAUACCCAUUUUCCCUUCUGCUUUAGUAAGAGAACCCCAAAUUUUAGCCACAUUUGUUGUGGCCUUGAAUAAUAACUUUCCAGUGCAACUAGGUAUAGCCAUAUGACCAGAUUCUUACCUAUGAGACGUAAAUGGAAGUGUUGUGUGAGAUUGCUCUGAAGUCUCUUAAAGAAAAAACGGAGGUGAUGAGAUUUUUCUUGUUUCUUUCAUCUUGCUGUCUGGAGUGCAGAUAUAAUAGCUGGAGCUCUAGCAGCCACCGGGACUAUGUUACAUUAAAUUAAAUUUGAUCUACAGUAGCCUCUGUACCUAGUAUUCUGCAACUUAACUUAUUUUGUACACAAACUGCAACCUCACUUUAUUAUAGUCUUGCAACAAAUAGCUGAGUCUCAACUAAUCCCAGUAGUUGAGCUUCAGCCAAUCAGGGCUGCCAACUGAUCAGAUCAUGCCCAUAUAAGACAAAUACCUCAACCAGCAUGCUUAAAUAAGGCAGCUGCAACCAAUCAAGUGGUUUCUGUAUCACUUCCUUUUUCUGUUUAUAAAUACUACCUGUCCCCAUUGCUGGGUGGAGCUCUCUGAACCUCUCCUGGUUCUCACUGCUACCCAGUUCUAACCAGUAGUUCAGAGAUCUUCAUCCAAUAUGGGCAGGCAAUAUUUAUGGACAGAAAAAGGAAAUGACAUAUAGAAAUACUUUGAUUAUAGCUCAGUAUUUGUCUUAUAUGAACAAAUAUAAGGCUGAUCAGUUGGCAGCCUGUGACCGGCUGAGACUCAGCUAUCUGUUGCAGAAUAUACUCUUAAGUGAGGUUGCAUUUUGUUUACAUAGUAAGUUAGGUUGCAGUUCACUACAUAGACAGCUUUAGGCCAAAUUUCAUUUAAUAAACUAAAAAUGGAUCUCCAUUAUACAUAAAUAUGGAUAUAAUGUAGUUAUUUUUGAAUAACACCAUUAAACUCCCCAUGCCCCUUCUAACAGCAGUACCUAGGAAGUAGUUCAGGACCUUUCUGUUUAAUCACUUUACUCCCAAUAUUGUGUGACACAUACAAGCAUGCUUUUAAGUGUCACCCCUUUGAUAGACAAGUAUUAAUAACAUUCAGAGUUGCUGUCUGGAAUCAAAUUUUCAGUCACAAAUUUUCCUGUAUCCUCAUCACAAAUGGUAGCUUCUGCCCAGUUGCAUUUUAAAAGGAAACUCACCCUUUCGCACAUCUUUCAGGAAAAAUGAGAGGCUUAGUCUCUGACUGAGAAGAUUUUAACUCAAUUAAGGUGAGUGAUUUGAUCUUUAACCCAUGGCAGUUUUGUUCUGAGGAUACCUCACAACCAAAAUGAGCACUGCAGUAGAGCAAAUAGAGAUCAGAACUAGGGUAUCAUUGGAAUGAAUGUUUGCAUCUGACUCUGAUUACAAUAAGCAACGUGGCCUAGCUGGGGAAUGCUGUAUUUUCACAAUUGACAGACCAAGCAGCCUGCAGCAAUCAGCAAAGGGCGGCUUAUUUUGAGCAAAAACAUCCAUCACACUGUGAUGAGAAAAGCAGAGCUGCAAUCAGUGGCAGGUUCUUCCAAGAGCUGUUGAUGAAAAAUGGACUUUACAUGUAUCAAGCUGAGAAAGAACUGCCGCUCAUUUUUUAGCCUCAUUUGCAUGCAUGAACAACAACAUUGGAAACAUUUUUGAACAUGAAAGAGAGUGAGACAAUAGUUCCAUCAUGAGUAGAACUUUUCUGUCCUCAAUCAUAAAAUAGCACACCCAAUCUGUGACAGGAAUAUAUUAGGUUUCAAAAGGCAAGAUAAUAAGCAAUUUCAAAGAAGGUUCUAACAUUCACUCCGAAAGUCUUAGGCAGAUGUAUUAUUUUCAUUGGUAUUAUGAUAAAAAAAUUCCAUUGAUGUAACCAAUAGAAUGGAAAUCUUUGAUAAUAUGUUCAGUCUUAUCUAUAUUAACUCUAUUUCACAUGACUAAAAAAUUAGAACUCUUUAGCUCUUGAAUCCUUCCAACUGCAUGAUGUAUCAUGAAAGCUCUGUAGGUUCAAAGUUUGUGAUUUGAAGUGAAAGAAAAGUUGUUCGAGUAGGAAUCUUUAGCUUUCUUCUUUUGACAGCAUGUCCUGCUGUCGUUAUGAGAUUUUUGGUUUUGAUAUGUGCUAGGAUAUUUGGAAGUUUUGCCUAACGUGUCAGAAAGAAGCUAAAGAUACAGAAUGAUCUUCAUUUUUAAGCAUUAAAUUUCUCUCUCCUUAAGGCCCACUAACUAUGCAUAGAGGCAUUUAGAACUGGGGCCUGAUCUUGCCUUACAGGCUGCUCUGUUUGAUUUUGUCCUGCCUCCUGCAGGGAAGCUGUGGGAGGAAAGUGAGAUAAUAUAUUGGUUUAAGUUUAUGGCAUCCAAAGUCUAUUCAAAAGCAUGGGCUUUCUCUCCUGUUUCUCAUUUCCCAUUGGGUAGUUUCUGAAUUAGUUCUCGCCUUUUGUAUUUGAUUAAUUUGCUCUAUUUAAGUCCAUGAGGAUUGAUUGUUUCUCUAUAUGAGUUUGCUGAAAUGUAAAAUAAGCAAUCUGCCUGUUUCUUCAAACAAGAGGAAAAUUAAUACUGUGACCUAAAAGGAUAUUAAUUAAAAAAAGAAUAAUACGCAUAUCAAUCAAAGAUAAGGUCUCAGAUGCCUCAGGCCUGAUAGACUAUCACUUUCUCCUUUUCUUUCUUGUGUAGUUGUUAAGGAUUUCACAUAUGGACUCUGGAGCUCAUGUUCUAAAGGUGAGGUUACUUUCCUGUCCUUGCUGUUUAUAUCUUACAUAGAAUUAGAAAGAUGCCAUGCAAAAAGCUAUUGGCCACUCACUCAUGGCUAUGCAUGCAUUGUAUCCAACUGCUCCUUCAAUUUGUAGCAACCAAGUCAGGAGUGCUGUGGUCAGCUAUUGGCUAAACUGUAAGCCGUGUCAGAGCAAAUUUCAGAGGAAGUCUGUGAAUGGUUGCUGAUAUGCUAUCCACAGAGUAGGACUGUCUAGAAAAAAUCCUGCUAUUUAUUAUUUUCAUAUUGAAUUAGCUCCCCAAUAUCUCCUUAGGCUGACCACCAGCACUGUUGCCCUGAUUACAAAAACCAACAGUUUUUGGAGCAGGGGGCAUGGUAGGCAUGCCAACCCGAGCAGUUAAAAUGUUAAAUGCCUGACUUCAUAAUGUGUGGGUGGAUGUUUGUGCUAAGUGUUAAAAAAUAUAUCUUGCCACAGGGAGAAAAUGGUGAUUUGAAUACUCUUUUCAGAGCUCCCUGAGUUUCCUUGCUGUGGUUGAAUAGGAAGUUGUGGAGCAUUUUCCCAUCAGUGAAAUGCCUCUGUAUCCUUUUGGGGUGGUAGUAGAAAGCCUAUAGGACUCAUGAUCCCUGAUGUCUUCUUUCAGUUCUCUACAUGGCAUAUUACAUGAUAGCAUGAGAAAAAUAUGCCAGCAAUUCAAGCAGAAAGAAUUCUAGAAGGCUCACUUCUCAGUCUUUAUUCUCUGAUGUGUAUUGAAUGACAAUAGCAGUAAAACCUCAAGCUGUUCAUUUGGAUCGGGCAGCCGUUGUGCACUUGGAUAUGACUAUUCUUUUUAUCAAAUCUCCUGUUAUUUGCAUUUAUAUGAUGCCUUUCUUCUAAAGCUCUUAAAGCAAUUUCAGCUUCACAAUACUUGUGUGAAUUGAAUAAGAAGAAACAUACUUCAUUUUGAGGUUGAGAUAAAAGAUAAAUUGUCAAUGACUCUCCUCAACAGAACAGAACAGAGCGCAGUGGGUACUCAAACAAUUUUUCCACACUGAUUUCCCUGGAAACCUCAAAGAAAAGGUUAUUUUAAAAAGGAGUUCUGAUCCUGGGUCUAGACAUCCUGGGGGCAAGGGUCCAUUGACAGGCUUCAGGGCUUCUGUGAACUCCCUGAGAGAUGUACAAAAUGAAGUUCUCCUGCACAUUUUCCUGGGCUGAGGGUUUGCAUUGCUGUAUUUACCAGAUUCUAACAUGGCUUAAGGACCAUUGUCUGGAACCAUGCUCCUUAAAUAUCUAGUAUAUUCAAAUCAAUUGAGAUGUUUGUCAAAAAUUCCAGGGCACAUAUCCAGAAAUUCCAAGUUAAUAAGUUUGGGGUGGGGUCUUGGGACCUGAAUUUUGACACCAAGUGAUUCCAAUUCUGGUGAACCAAGAGACUCAUUUAGAGAAACAUUGGUCUAGCCCCUUGAAGGUGGCUUAGUAAGAAAGUCACUUACUGGCAUCUUUGGAAAUUAUUGUUUCAGACUGGGGAAGAGAAGCUAAAGUGCAAGACCAGAGAGAGGGUGCAGAAGCUGUAGUGGCAGAGAACGCCAUAUAUUUCGUCAUGUGUCCUAAAACCAGAAUUGUAUUUCAAGAGAAGUUAGGCUAUCGGUCUGUGAAAGUGAAAGAUUGAAAGUGGAAAAUAAAACAGCUUAGAUGAGAAUGAUUUAAAAUGUACAGGGGAAAGUGUUAGUAGACACAAUACUAUUUUUAGGUCUUUCUUAUCUGUUUUAUAUUGCCCUUAUAUCAGAAAAACAGCUGCUGGCAGGAAACAAAUGCUCAAUCAAUUCAUCAAAUAUCAGGGAGCUGGAAAUUCAGAUCCUGCCAUUAACCAGAACAUAAGAAAUAACAUUAGGUGAAGAGGAGCAUUUUACUGUAUUGCUGGGAGAACUGAGUUAGCUGGACCAAGGUCUGUUCUAAAGCAGCAAAGUAUUUUAGGAUUUUCUGUCUUUACAAGCCCAUGGAAGAAUAGCAUAAGUAGAGGGAUUUUAUUCCAUUGAAGGGGGCACUUGUGUUUUUUUCCCAAAAAGGUAGUAUGUUUGACAAGAAGUUCUGUGAAACUGUUAUUUUAAAUACAGUCAUUCCUGAACUAGGAGACCAUCCGGAUUCAGUAUAAGUGGAUGGGUUGACCAAUGCAGGAAUACAUUUGAUCCCAUCCCCCAUCAGUUCUCCAUGCUUUCCUUCAGGAAAUAUUCUCGACAAGGCCUGACAAAAUCCUCUUGUUACUCUGUCAUCAUUCAUGUUGCCAAAUAUACUUUGAUGUGUGUGGCACCAGACCACACUUAAGGAAAAUUGCUUCAUGAACUUUUAUUUAAAACUAUAAUAAUGUUAGCUCGGUGCCUUCUUUGCUUGUUACUUUGUCAUUUAGUUUGGUUGUAAGAAUAUGAUGCGGGUGGUAAGUCAAUUGCUCUAAAACCUCACAGCAGUGUGUAAAGUACUAUAUUCAUAAAGUACCUUUUGGGAAGUACAUAGUGUCUUUUUGAAGAGAUUUGUUUUAAAUUUAACAGAGCCUUUUUCUGUAAAUGUAUUGACACACAUUUAGAGCACACAAUGCUGGAGCCUUGCAAGAUCUUUAGAGAAUAUGUGUGCAUGGCUGAUGAAAUGCCACGAUUUGUUUGGAAAAAGCUUUUAGGAAACUAAAUUGUAUUAAAAGAGAAGUGAGCUUUUUAAAUGUGGGUAUAAUGUACCCUAAUGUAAAGUUGUAGCACUUGAUCCUGAAGAAAGAUUUCGAGGAAAGCAAAGGGGGGUCGUGGCCGAAGGGAUCUCUGUCCUUCAGGUUGGCCUGAGCCAACUGAAAGCGGUCUUCCUGCUGUCCUUCCUUGGCCAGGUUCUUUUGUGAUCCCACUCUCCCUUCUCACCACCUUCACUUCCCUCCUCCAAAACACACUCGGAGUCCCAUUCAUUGUUGAACGCCCAGCACUGUAAAACUGGCACACACUCAUGCUAAAUAGAUAUUUGUUAAGUGAAUUGAUGAGUGCUUAAAAAUCUCCAUGGAUUUUCUAUCAGUCUUUGGAUAAAAGUUACAAUCUUUACAAUGACCUACAAAGCCGAGGCUGAUCGUGUCCCUGUGACUGCACUGACUUCAUCUCCUAAUGUUCUCCACGUCCCUCACACUGUUCCAGCUACACUGGCUUCCUUGCAGUUCCUCACAUAAGCCAGGGCUAAUGCCACCUGAGGGCCUUGUCAUUUGCUAUUCCCUCUGCCUGGAAUGCGUUCUCCAGAUACCUACAUGGCUUCUUUCUCAACCUCCUGAAGUCUUCUCAAUGAAGUCUUCCUACGCCUCAUUCCUUAUGUCAGGUAUCUAUUUAUUGUUGUGUAAUAAACCACCCCAAAAUUUAGUGGCUUAAACAGGAAUGAUUUGUUAUUUGCGACAAUUUUGCAGGUGAGUGGGUGUUCCUUCCCUAUCUGGGGGAGUCUACAUUCAGCGGAGAGCUCCACUGAUACAUCUUGAUUUUCCUCCACAUGGUCUCUCUCCGUGGUGGCUCAUCCUCCAGGGCCUCUCUACGUGGCUCUCCUUCCAGUAGAAUAGCCAGGCCUUGCUUAAGUCAUACAGGCUGACUUCCAAGUGACAGCCUUCCAAGAAGAAGACAGGCCCCCAGGGGAAGGGCUUACCCAGCCUCUGCUUGUAUCACACUUGCUAAUGUCCUGUUGUUUAACUCCAGUCACAUAGCCAUGGCCAGAGCCAAUGUGGCAGGAGAUUACACAAGUAUAUGAACACCGGGAGGUGUGGUUAAUUGGAGACUACCAACCCAAUAGUCUACUCCCGUCUGCCCUUUAGCCCCAAGUGAUUCACUUCUCUCCCACCUGCAAAUUACACUCACAACCUUCAAAGUCACAUCCCAUUAAGUCCUGUGGUUUACACUUGAGUUCCAGGAUCUUCCAGGUUAGAUCAGGGCCAGAUUUGGCUGAAGCAAGUGGGUGCCAUUCCCCAGGUGCUGCUCCUUAGUUGUCAUUCUUCAGGUUUAAAGACCUAUAAACUGGGUCAGCAAGAUCGUUCUUUGCCUCUCAACUUCUACUGUAGAAAUGCAGCAUAUUCCUUUCCAGUGGCCAAUAGGAUUUAUUCUGCUUAGCUAUUUCUCUCCUUAUGCAAUUUAAAUAUUUUCUUUUUUGCUGUACCCUCAGAAAAGACAUAGAAAAUCUCAUUGUUAUGCUAUAAGUUCAUCAUUUUUAUAAUUACCAAUUUUAUCUUAAGUUGAUCACUUUUAUGAUUACCAAUUUAAUCUGUUUCCUCCCAAUGUUUUAGUUAUCUAUUACUAUAUUUUAAAAAGCACCCCAAAAUUGAAUGGCUUGAAACAACAGUGCCUUAUUAUUUCUCUCAAUUUUCUGGGUUUACUGGGUUUCUAUUCUUUUUAUGUGGUGUGGUGCCAGUGGGGUCUCUGCUGUAUUUGCAUGCAGGUGGGAGCUCAGUGGUGCACCUUCGUUCUUCUUCCUAUUGUCAUCCUCCCCACCUUGGUCUUGUGAUCCAGGGCCUGUCCAUGUGAACUUGUAUCUCCAGAAGGAUAGUCUGGACUUUCUUACAAUGCGGCAGCUAGGUUCUCAGACAGUAAUAAAGAAGCGGCCAGGUCUCGUAAGGGCCAGGCCUGGAGCUGAUACCUCCACCUGUUCUAUUAGUCAGAGCAGGUCAGAAGGCCAGCCUGGAUUCAAGGAGAGAGAAAAUAGACCCUAUCUCUUAAGCGGAGAGAUGGAAUAUUGGUGGCCAUCUUUAGGGACUAUCUACCACAUUCCUUCUUUCCUGUUCAUUUUCUCCUAACUUCUAAUCACUCUGUAUUUAUCUUAUUAUUUAUUUUCAACACUGAAUGUAUGCUCAGUAAAGUCAGGGAUUUUUUCUUUCUUUUUUCUUUUUUUUUUGAGAUGGAGUCUCACUCAGCCACCCAGGCUGGAGUGCAGUGGUGCCAUCUCGGCUCACUGCAACCACCGUCACCCGGAUUCAAGCACCCAGGUUCAAGCGAUUCUCCUGUCUCAGCCUCCUGUGUAGCUGGGAUUAGAGGCACCCGCCAUCAUGCCUGGCUAAUUUUUGUAUUUUAGUAGAGACGGGGUUUCACCAUGUUGGCCAGGCUGGUCUUGAACUCCUGACCUCAGGUGAUCCACUUUUUUAUUCAUUUUAUUUAAUGCUGUAUAUUCUACAGAAUACUGCUUGCCACAUAAUGGAUGCUCACAGAGUUUUUGAAUGAAUAUUUAGCAUGCUACCUGCUGGGAUACAUCUCCUGGUUUCUUUACCUGGGCAUUUAUCAUCUACAUGUUCUCUCAUGGCUGAUUUGAAUGCAGAAUGUUAAUAUAUAUUUACAUAUUUGACUUUUGCCAUGUCUUAGCCCACUUUCUCUGUUUGUAUCUUUGAACGUUAACUCUGACAUUGUUGGAUUCUUCACCUAGUGUGAGUCUUCUGAUAGAGAAUGACAGUGCAGAACUUGAUGCCAACUUGGCUGGCUGGCCCCAUGCCCACUUAAGACUACUUCCUCGAUAUCCACUGAUCUUCCCAUAGCGUCAGUAUACCGAGAAAGUGAUGCUUUCUCUUUUGUUUUGGGGAAAUACAUAUAUGAGACAUGGAGAGAAAAAUAGGCAUAAAAGACAGAAUAUAUUAGAGUUAACCUCAUGAUAAAGUAUAGAAUAUCCCACAAUGUGGGGUUCUGAAGAACUCUAAGGGCAGACACCCAUUUCAUUUUGAGUAUAUUUGUCAGAUGAAAAAGACAAAUUUCAUUUGACCAUAUUUGUCAUAUGAAAGAAAUUUAAAAUUUUCAAAUAAUUUUAGGAUAUUCACAAAUUAAUGGCUGAUGUAAAACUGUUUUAUUAUUUUUUUCACUAAUCCAUUCCAGUGUAAUUUCGUCUUACUCCUUUUCUUUUUGUGUCUUUCCUCCAAGUUACUAAAAUUUUUUUAUUGAAAAUGAACAGUUGUUACCUUUAAAUCUCAUCUCUCCAGUGAUGCUUGAUUUGGGAGUAUAUGAUUGUUUUAACUGAUUUCAUUUGGCCUAAAGCUUCCCAGUAAAAUCUUUGGAGGAGGGAAUUGCUUGUUGCUUUUACAGGAUAUUGUUAGAGGUAGAAUUAGCCAUAUGAUAUGCUGAUAUCAUAAAACCACGGAUUCUAGAAAACACACAUACAGAUCAGUCUAAUUUUUUAAACAGUCACAUCUCAUGUUGUAAAUGAAAGACAGUAGGGUGACAUACGAAAAUCAUAUUAAUGGAUGGUUUCAUCUAAUGUCUGUAGCCAGAAAUUGCAAAGGAAUUCAGUGACUGCUACAUGAUUAGCUGUGUAGAAUGAAAAUAACUAUUAUUUGCUCAUAUGAUUUCUGUUUAAGCAAGUGAAAUACCACAGCUGGGGGAUAAUUGCUGGCAGGCUUUGCUGGGUGAACUUUAAAUAAAUAGAAAGAGAAAGGUAAAAACAUUUAAAGGGAAAUAUUUAAAUAAUGCUUUCAAAGCAAAUGCUGAGAAAGAAGGUAUAAGCGUCCUGAAACAUAUCAUGAGACCUUUAUGAAUUAUUAAAGACCAAACCAUAAUGUUAUCUUUUCUGUUAAAGAUAAUGCUAGUAUAAAUUGGGAGCAUUUAUAAACUUCUGUAGGAUGGCAGACACAGAAUAUAUAUCAUAAAGUUGAUUGCUUUUCUGAAAUAAAAUUAGUGGAUACAGACAAUUCCAUAAAUAAUAGUAUUUAAUGACAAUUUCUUUUUUAAAUAAGUUUAUAUCUCUGCAAAUUUAUUCCUAGAAAGAUAAUUUAAAAUCUUGCUUACAAGCUGAAGUAGGAAGAAUCACUAGGUACCCUCCAUCAGGGCAAUUUCAAAUAUUGUUCUUUUCCACCCACCAAGCCUGAUUUAAGGCAUUUAAUCAUGGGCUAAGAAGGCUGGAUUUUUUUAUUGUAUUUUUAACUCUCCAAUUUUGGAUGUUGAAAACUAACAUCCCAAAGAGGGGUUUGAUCAAAAUGAGAAUUAUAAAACAAGGAAGGAUAUUUGAUUCAUGUUAUCUAAUAAUGCAAGUUUACACAAUUUUAAGGCCCUUUCUGUAUGUGAAACGAGAACCUCCUCUCUUAUUUUCCUAGUGGUGAGAAUGGCCCUCUGAAAUGCCACCAUUCUUUUAGCCUAGACACACUUCAUCCCUAGUGACAAAAACCUACUGAUGUUUGAGACUCAGAUAUGUGUCCUUCCUGGGCACAGUUAUAAUUCUAACUUUUUUUUUGUUAUGAGAAAGAAUGAUCCCAGAUUUGGGAAAAUGAGAAGAGGGAACGUUGCUUAGAAAGCACAUGCUGUGAGGACAUGGUUAUACCAGGCACAGGGAAUUCGGGGGGAAAUGGAGUCAUCAUCCACAAUCACUUGUUAAUGUUCAACUAUAUACAUAUGGCACUCUUGAGGCACCGAGAGAGAGGGGGAAAUACCUGCCUCUCUCCUACCCCCAAUUGAAACAGUGAAAUAACCAGAGAUGGGUUAUAACAUUUUUCAGAGAAAGGUAGACUUAAAUGGAUUUGUAAAAAUAAAAUUCUUUGUUGGCAACAAUAAAGGAAGCUGUAUUUAUUUUAGGGCUGAUUCAUUUUUGUCACAGAACUAUUAACUUAUUGUAAAGAUUUAUUUUCUAACUAUCAGUAGAUUGAAUUCUUGUCAUCAGCAAUUUGUAAAAUAUAGAAAACAUAAAGAAGGAAAUAAAAAUCAUCUUUGUCUUUUUUAACUUUUAAGUUCAAGGGUACAUAUGCAGGAUGUGCAGGCUUGUUACGUAGGUAAAUGUGUGUCAUGGGGGUUAGCUGUACAGAUUAUUUCAUCACCCAGGUACGAAGCCUAGUAUCCGUUAGUUAUUUUUCCUGAUCCUCUCCCUCCUCCAAACCUCUGUCCUCAGGUAGGCCCCAGUGUGCGUUGUUCCCCUCUAUGUGUCCAUCUGUUCUCAUCAUAAAAAUCAACUUUAAACCCUAAAUUUAGAGAUAAUAGCCAUUAAAAUUUUAGCCCAUUUACUGCCAAUAUUUUUGAAUAUAUAUAUACACAAAUAUAUAUACUUUGCACAGUUAAGAUUAUACUGUUUAUGUAUUUCUACAUCGUGAAAUGUUUUUAUCUGCUUUAUAUUAUUGAUUUUUUUACAUCUUUACUUACUUUCUAUAAAUACCAUUUAUAAAGGCUGAAUAAAUAUUUCAUCGUAAGUGUUAA